UUUAACUGUGAAAUUGCACUGGAAAGCCUUAACAGCCAACUGAUGAGCCAGUGGGGGAGAAAGAGACUGGGAGUGCUGGAGUUAGUCUGGAGUGCAUUUGAAAUGCAAUGAGCUUUCUUACUGUCCCAAACAGCAUCUAAUAUUUUGCUUUCUUCAAGGCCUGCCCUUCUCUGAUGUAAAGAAUCCUGUGAUCCCAUGCCACCAGGAGUCUAGGGAAAACAGCUUCACCUUACAUGCUGCAAAACUGUCACCAAAAGUAGUUUGGGAGCAUUAAGUAGUAGGGAAACAUUUUUUCCCCCACCUUGUGCUUUUGGAAGUCUCCACAGGCUGGGAGGUAUUUCUGUUUCAGGUUGUGACAGCAAUGGCUGCAUACAUGCUACAGCUCUGACAGCAGAUGUGAAUAAUGGAAAAGGGCUCUGAACACGAGAAGUCACUCUGAGUGCUUGCUGUACUUUCUUAAUGUGUGUGACAUUGACAUAAUAUGCCCCAGGGCUUUCUGGAUCGGAUGGUGUUUGCCUGUUCCACGUGCUGGUUUUUAUGAACAGCAAUCAAGCUGUAAACAUGUAGGCACUUGGAACACAUGUAGGCAGCGUGUGUGGUGAGUGGCUUCCCGCGCUGUCCAUGGGUGGGAAGCACAGAGCUGAGGUCAGGGCAGCAGAAACAACGUUUUGCCAUCAGAGGAGAGGACUCCUGCUCCCUGGCAGGGCUCAUGGUGGGUGGUCUGGAUGGUGGUGGUGCUACAUCAUGGUGUUGUCUGAUUGUAUGGCACACACAGCACCUGGAAACAGCUUUUGUGAUGCACAGAAGCUCAACCAGAUACAUCUCACAGGAGCUGAUGUGUGAGCUGGAUGUGCUCCUCACCAAUAUCCUUUGUGACAACAGUAAAACUCAAUGUAUGGAAAGCAACUGGACACCAGGAAGGGGCACCCAUGCAGACAGGGGUGGGGUCUGCAUCUCCCACCUCCAUAGAUGUCUCAGCAUGGAAGGAACAGCCUGGAACCUCCUCAGAUUCUGUGUGGUGCCAUCAAAAUCC